AGUGAACGCUGGCGGUAGGCCUAACACAUGCAAGUCGAACGGCAGCACAGUAAGAGCUUGCUCUUACGGGUGGCGAGUGGCGGACGGGUGAGGAAUACAUCGGAAUCUACUUUUUCGUGGGGGAUAACGUAGGGAAACUUACGCUAAUACCGCAUACGACCUACGGGUGAAAGCAGGGGAUCUUCGGACCUUGCGCGAUUGAAUGAGCCGAUGUCGGAUUAGCUAGUCGGCGGGGUAAAGGCCCACCAAGGCGACGAUCCGUAGCUGGUCUGAGAGGAUGAUCAGCCACACUGGAACUGAGACACGGUCCAGACUCCUACGGGAGGCAGCAGUGGGGAAUAUUGGACAAUGGGCGCAAGCCUGAUCCAGCCAUACCGCGUGGGUGAAGAAGGCCUUCGGGUUGUAAAGCCCUUUUGUUGGGAAAGAAAAGCAGCAGGUUAAUACCCCGCUGUUCUGACGGUACCCAAAGAGUAAGCACCGGCUAACUUCGUG
rnacentral:rRNA from 1 species